CAACUUCAUAGGAAGAGUUGCCAAAACAGAAAAUGAGCUGAGAUAAUAGAUGGGAAGAGAACAUCUUGAAAGUGCUCAAGGCUCUGAUUCCUGUUGUUUCAGCCAUUUCUGAGUUUGAAUAUUUCUAGAGACCAGAAGUCCAGGAUCAAGAUGCCAGCAAGAUUUAUUUUAAUAAUGGAAGAAGAAACGAAAAAACAAAAAGAGAAAAGCCUUCCACCUUGAAGUCUAAACCAACUUAGUCCUGAAUGAUGAGAGUUAUUCCCCCCAAGGUCUCAGAGAUGACUCAAGGUGCUGAGUGGAGAUGGGCUGUAUUAAUGGG